rnacentral:rRNA from 1 species
UGAGGAAUAUUGGUCAAUGGGCGAGAGCCUGAACCAGCCAAGUCGCGUGAAGGAAGACAGUCCUAAGGAAUGUAAACUUCUUUUAUACGGGAAUAACGGGCGAUACGAGUAUUGCAUUGAAUGUACCGUAAGAAUAAGCAUCGGCUAACUCCGUGCCAGCAGCCGCGGUAAUACGGAGGAUGCGAGCGUUAUCCGGAUUUAUUGGGUUUAAAGGGUGCGUAGGUUGUUCGGUAAGUCAGCGGUGAAACCUGAGCGCUCAACGUUCAGCCUGCCGUUGAAACUGCCGGGCUUGAGUUCAGUGGCGGCAGGCGGAAUUCGUGGUGUAGCGGUGAAAUGCAUAGAUAUCACGAGGAACUCCGAUUGCGAAGGCAGCUUGCCAUACUGCGACUGACACUGAAGCACGAAGGCGUGGGUAUCAAACAGG